rnacentral:rRNA from 1 species
UACGAAGGGUGCAAGCGUUAAUCGGAAUUACUGGGCGUAAAGGGUGCGCAGGCGGUUAUAUAAGACAGAUGUGAAAUCCCCGGGCUCAACCUGGGAACUGCGUUUGUGACUGUAUGACUAGAGUACGGUAGAGAGGGGUGGAAUUCCUGGUGUAGCAGUGAAAUGCGUAGAUAUCAGGAGGAACAUCGAUGGCGAAGGCAGCCCCUUGGACCUGUACUGACGCUCAUGCACGAAAGCGUGGGGAGCAAACAGG